UACAACGAUAUCAUAUCUAAAGAUUAAAUGAUACAGGUUUCAUGAGCACAAUUAAUGAACUUUCUUGUUUUUUGAAAAUAUAAAAGCAUGUAUCAUUUUCAAUUUGAUGUUCAGUUAAUCAAACGAAAUCGUUGUUGCGACUUGAUAGAUGCAAUUGAAGUGCAAGCAAAAAUCAUUUGAAAUUAUAUUUAAAAAAAACUAAGACCUACAGGUCAUACAAUCUACAAUGGUAAACUUGUUUCGAAUGCUUAGGCCUGAAGAAGACGUAAGUCAAGGUAUUAAAGCUAAAAAUCCAUAUGCACAAGCAUCACCUUGGCACCAUGUUUCUCCAAGUUACAGGUUCUGCGCCUCUCAGUAUAUUUCUACAUGUAAAACAGAGGAUGCCGUGUGGGAGCUUGCUGGCAAAGCCUGUAAUCCUACAGGAAAUAGAAAAAUAAUAGCAAUAGAUGUUGACCUGUUAAAACAGCUGGUUCCAGAUUUUGAAUACAUUGAUCUUACGGAUCCUGCCACUCGUGAAUCAUGUAUUCCGGAGGAAGAUGAUUUUGCCAGGAACUGUGCAAGGAGAUUUGAAGAAAUACUUCUACAAAUACCAGUGAGUUGGGGACGAGAGCCCGUCAUUCCAGCGGAAUGCAUAUAUGUGAUAGGUUCUAUUUGAACGCUCAUUACCACAAAGUGUAAAGGUUUAAAACAAUUUAGAGAAAUUAAUUGCUAUAUGUUAUUCGGCAACAAAAGAACAAUUUAUUUUAUUGUAAAGCGGAGUUUAUUAUCCAUUAAAACUAUCAGCCGAAUGUGUAAUUGGAAUAGGUUAAUUUGAGAUCUAGUCUUGACAUUAUAAAACUCGUUAUGUGUAAGAAGAAUCUACAUUUGUACAUACUUUACCAGAAAGACAUUAAUGUAAAACUUAAUCAUUACUACUUUUUAUGUUAAUGUUUUAAUGAAUAACCACAGUUAUUAUUAUAUAGAUACGGAAGCCUAUUAGGGACAUUUUGUCUUAUUUUUUAUGCAUUACCUCUUAUGUGUGAUGUAUUAUGCGUUACGUAUUAUUUAUUACCUCUUAUAUUAUACACGUAAGGUAGAGGUGUAGCGGGAAACAUGAACUGAAUCCUUUACUGAUAUAUGGAUUAUAGAAAGUUUUCUUUCACAAAGCUCGACCGAAUAGCUGUUAACUGGAAUCUACAUUCCGCAUUGAAAGCCUGAUCUCAUAUACUUUGUUACCAAAGUAUUUGAUCGGCAUGAUUUUGGCAAGAAAGUACGCUAAGAAGAUGUCAAUAUGUGCUGUGAAAUGUGUGGGUCCCGUAGGAAGAUUUAUAGCCAAGACUCAAAAUGUCUAGUAAGACUGCUCAGACCUAUAGUGGUAAAAUUUCCAUACAUGUACAUGAUGCUAUAUAGAGAGCUAUUAACACUUGUUGAAGAAAAGUUUGAUUUAAUUACUUAUUAACAUAAUGAAAAUAUCUUUCAUUUCAUCAUAUCAUUUUUCAUUGCAUCUGUGAAAAUAAAGAUACGAUUGGAUA